rnacentral:rRNA from 1 species
UACGGGGGGGGCAAGCGUUGUUCGGAAUUACUGGGCGGAAAGGGCUCGUAGGUGGCCAACUAAGUCAGACGUGAAAUCCCCAGGCUCAACUUGGGAACUGCGUCUGAUACUGGAUGGCUUGAAUUCGGGAGAGGGAUGCAGAAUUCCAGGUGUAGCGGUGAAAUGCGUAGAUAUCGGGAGGAACAUCAGUGGCGAAGGCGGCCAUCUGGGACAACACUGACGCUGAAGCACGAAAGCGUGGGGAGCAAACAGG